AACGAACGCUGGCGGCAUGCCUAACACAUGCAAGUCGAACGAGACCUUCGGGUCUAGUGGCGCACGGGUGCGUAACGCGUGGGAACCUGCCCUUAGGUUCGGAAUAACUCCCCGAAAGGGGUGCUAAUACCGGAUAAUGUCUUCGGACCAAAGAUUGAUCGCCUUUGGAUGGGCCCGCGUUGGAUUAGCUAGUUGGUAGGGUAAAAGCCUACCAAGGCGACGAUCCAUAGCUGGUCUGAGAGGAUGAUCAGCCACACUGGGACUGAGACACGGCCCAGACUCCUACGCGAGGCAGCAGUGGGGAAUAUUGGACAAUGGGCGAAAGCCUGAUCCAGCAAUGCCGCGUGAGUGAUGAAGGCCUUAGGGUUGUAAAGCUCUUUUACCCGGGAUGAUAAUGACAGUACCGGGAGAAUAAGCUCCGGCUAACUCCGUG
rnacentral:rRNA from 1 species